rnacentral:rRNA from 1 species
UACAGAGGUCUCAAGCGUUGUUCGGAUUCAUUGGGCGUAAAGGGUGCGUAGGCGGCGCGGUAAGUCGGAUGUGAAAUCUCGGAGCUUAACUCCGAAACUGCAUUCGAUACUGGCGUGCUUGAGGACUGGAGAGGAGACUGGAAUUCAUGGUGUAGCAGUGAAAUGCGUAGAGAUCAUGAGGAAGACCAGUGGCGAAGGCGGGUCUCUGGACAGUUCCUGACACUGAGACACGAAGGCCAGGGGAGCAAACGGG